AACGAACGCUGGCGGCAGGCCUAACACAUGCAAGUCGAACGAGAAGCCACCUUCGGGUGGUGGACAGUGGCAGACGGGUGAGUAACGCGUGGGAACGUGCCUUUCGGUUCGGGAUAACCCAGGGAAACUUGGGCUAAUACCGGAUACGCCCUCCGGGGGAAAGAUUCAUCGCCGAAAGAUCGGCCCGCGUCGGAUUAGCUAGUUGGUAGGGUAAUGGCCUACCAAGGCGACGAUCCGUAGCUGGUCUGCGAGGAUGACCAGCCACACUGGGACUGAGACACGGCCCAGACUCCUACGGGAGGCAGCAGUGGGGAAUAUUGGACAAUGGGCGAAAGCCUGAUCCAGCCAUGCCGCGUGGGUGAAGAAGGCCUUAGGGUUGUAAACCCCUUUCAGCGGGGAAGAUAAUGACGGUACCCGCAGAAGAAGUCCCGGCUAACUCCGUGCCAGCAGCCGCCGUAA
rnacentral:rRNA from 1 species